UGGGGAAUUUUGGACAAUGGGCGAAAGCCUGAUCCAGCAAUGCCGCGUGUGUGAAGAAGGCCUUCGGGUUGUAAAGCACUUUUGUCCGGAAAGAAAUCCUUGGCUCUAAUACAGUCGGGGGAUGACGGUACCGGAAGAAUAAGCACCGGCUAACUACGUGCCAGCAGCCGCGGUAAUACGUAGGGUGCAAGCGUUAAUCGGAAUUACUGGGCGUAAAGCGUGCGCAGGCGGUUUGCUAAGACCGAUGUGAAAUCCCCGGGCUCAACCUGGGAACUGCAUUGGUGACUGGCAGGCUAGAGUAUGGCAGAGGGGGGUAGAAUUCCACGUGUAGCAGUGAAAUGCGUAGAGAUGUGGAGGAAUACCGAUGGCGAAGGCAGCCCCCUGGGCCAAUACUGACGCUCAUGCACGAAAGCGUGGGGAGCAAACAGGAUUAGAUACCCUGGUAGUCCACGCCCUAGACGAUGUCAACUAGUUGUUGGGGAUUCAUUUUCCUUAGUAACGUAGCUAACGCGUGAAGUUGACCGCCUGGGGAGUACGGUCGCAAGAUUAAAACUCAAAGGAAUUGACGGGGUCAUAGCUGUUU
rnacentral:rRNA from 1 species